AAGAAAGAGAGAGAAAUUCAGUAAUUCUCACACACAAAAAACCUCUUUGGCUCUCUCUCUAGUCUCUAUACCCUUCUUCUCCACAUCCACAACACCUCUCUAUCUUCCUCUCUGAUGUUUAGGGUUUUUCUUUUCAAGGUAGCAUAGGAGUUUCAGACUAGUAGCUAGGUAAGAGAGAGAAAGAGAAGUGAGUAUAGGAAGCUAAGGAAGGUUUUGUUUUGGUUUUGAGUUUGUGCAAUGGCGACCGCACCAGUGAAGUCUCAGCCACUUCACAACUUCGCGCUCCCCUUUUUGAAAUGGGGAGGAAAGAGCCACACCAACAGCACAACCCGUUGCCGACGCACGGUUUCUCCUGCUUCGUCCGAACCCGACUCCGACUACCACCACGACUCGGACCCGCCGUCUAGGGUCGGAUCCCGGUCCGCUCGCAACCGAUUCGGAUUCUCUCCUUGCUCUUUCAACAACAACAACAACAGCAACAAGCAGGCGGCAGAGCAUUCGGGGGCCGAUGACGUGGCGGAUGUGGAAGCAGCGGCGGAGGCGGAGGAAGGGGUGCAGAAGCCGUGGAAGUUGAGGCCGAGGAAGGCGGUGCAGAGGAGCGCGAUGGUGGAGAUCGAGAGUACGACGACGGUGCUUGCGAUUCCAGCUCCACAGGCGCAGAACGAGAAUCCGAAGUCGAUGAGGCUGAGAGGAGAUCAGUCGCAGAGUACGGAGACGAAGAAGAAGAAGGAGAAGAACAAGUUCUGGAUCGCACUCUCUAAGGAAGAAAUUGAGGAAGACGUUUUCAUCAUGACUGGCUCCCGCCCAGCUCGCCGCCCCAGAAAACGGCCCAAGAAUGUCCAGAAACAGCUCGACAGUGUUUUUCCGGGGUUGUGGCUGGUGGGGACCACGGCCGAUUCUUACCGGCUGGCCGAAGCUCCGGCGAAGAGGUAGAUAUGCUCACAGCUCAUGCUUGCUUACUUAAAUUCCUCAUACAAAGGGGUAGAUAUGACACAGACAGAAAAAAAAUUGUGAUUUUCUGAAAGCUUGGUAAGGUUAGAGAAAGAAAUUGCGCCUGCGAAGUUGACACCUCGAUUUGAGGCUUCCCUACAUCGUUGGGGGGCAGAGAGUAUCAAGGGUGUAGUUUUUUUGCAGAACCGUUAUUCCCAUACAAGAUUUAUUAUUGCAGGCACUGCUUGCUUCCUUGGUUCUCGAAGAGCCAUCUCCCUUUCAAUUGGGCUUCAUCAAAAACAAGAGGUUGAAUAUUUAUAUGUUGACUGACUGCAUUCCUCUUUUCUAUUCUUUCAUAUUUCAUGUUGGUAAUCACAUAAUUCACAUCCACUUUUAACAUUGAUUGGAAGUAUUCUGAGCAAUAAUAAGAGUUUAAAAUUGGUCAAAGGAUUAACAUUUCAGGCAUAUAUUGGGUUUAAAGAAUUCUGAUGUUUAGGAAGGUUGGAAAAUUAUUAUUAAAUUUUCUAUAGAUUUCUGUUCUAGUUUUUGUACAUUUAUCAUGCUGGGGAUGGCAUCUUCCAGGGGUAGUAUUUUUUUUAUAAAACUUCUAGGCUUGAAUCUGGUAAGUACUGUUUCCUGAUUAGGAUUUCAAGUUUCUGAGUAAGCAAUUAUAUAUAUAUUUUAAGUUUAGAGUAAAUAAAUGCUCAUUAGUUUUAUCAACCUAAUGGUAUUUACGUUUUUCUUGAUUAAUAUGGUUUUUUGGUCCAUAUUUUACCCUUGAAGCUGUUAACUAUUGUCUACAUGCUUGAUUUUCUCGCUAUUACAAUUUUACCAAGCAAGAUGCUAGCUAGCUGCUGCUAGUAUAUGAUGGUAACAUUUAAAACUUGAAGACUUGGUUCUAAGUUCAUGUGUCACCAUUGAACAUCAUCUUCAUUGGUUUCCUUCCUGGCUGACUUCCUUGAACGAAGUUUCAGCUUUUUUUUUGGGGGGGUUGGGGGUGGUCUUUUAUCUGCAAAAUAUUGCCUUUCUACCUAGUUUCUUACCCGUCCCCAGUCAAAAUAUCCAACCUCAAAAUAUCCAUGGUUGGAUAUGAUGCCGUGUAUGUUGGCCUCUUUUUGCCCGAGUUACCUGCAAUGGUGAACUAACCGUUGUGCCAUAUAGAUUGUAUGUAUAGUGAUGCCAGAUUGUAGAUUGCAUUUGACUGGUGAAAUACAUAAUUUCACCAAUUAAAUCCUCAUGUGGAGAAACGUUCUAUACAUACAUACAUAUAUAUAUAUAUAUAUAUAUAUAUAUGUAUGUAUGUAUAUAUACACCUGAAUUUGGUAAGUUAAGAUCUGAUGGUUGAAAUAUUUAACUCUAUGCUUAUUCAUUUUUCUUAGGUGAUGCGUUCUUCCCAGUCUCCUUCGUUAAUAAUUCACAGCACUUACCUUUUUCCAGCCAGUCCUAAGAUAAUAACACAAUUAAUCUGGAAUAUUUGCCCCGGUCUCCUCAUUCUUUUUUUCCAAGUUUGAUAUCAAAUACCAUUUAUUAAGUCUCUACCUGAAUCCUGUCUUUGUUAAGUCACAUUUAUUGGAAAUUCAGUUGUGAUUCCUAUUGGCCUGGUCUUGCUGUUUACACCAAACACGAUAAGUUUAGAAACUUAUGACAGUGACUUCGUCUAUUAAAAUGAUGAUAUGUUUCCUUUUUCUAUUGCUCUUCUUUCUAACAAUGUUGAUUCAUUUGCAUUCAGCAAUAGAAAUGAAAGCAUCUGGAAUUAAUCGUUAUUUCUAGACAAUCAUGCUUAUCUCAAAGUUGGAAAUCUCAUUCUGAAUAGCCCUGAUGAAUUGGAGCAAGCAAUUCCAUCACAGACUUGAGACGCAAGCUUGGGAACCUAGGUUUUGAACUUGUGGAAUCACCCUUGCUCAUGCAAGGUAAUGAAUAUACACAUUGUUAUAUGACUAAAAAAGUGAUUUUCGCAUGAAUUAUUUCUAGCUCAAGUUAUCUCA